CCUACGGGUGACAGCAGUGGGGAAUAUUGGGCAAUGGGGGAAACCCUGAUCCAGCGACGCCGCGUGAGGGAAGAAGUAUUUCGGUACGUAAAGCUCUGUCAGCAGGAAAGAAAGUGACGGUACCUGACUAAGAAGCACCGGCUAACUACGGGCCAGCAGCCGCGGGAAUACGUAGGGGGCGAGCGUUAGGCGGAUUUACUGGGGGUAAGGGGAGCGGAGACGGCAGGGCAAGUCUGGAGUGAAAUGCCGGGGCCCAACCUCGGAACUGCUCUUGAAACUGUGAAGCUGGAGUGCAGGAGAGGUAAGCGGAAUUCCUGGUGUAGCGGUGAAAUGCGUAGAUAUCAGGAGGAACACCGGCGGCGAAGGCGGCUUACUGGACUGUAACUGACGUUGAGGCUCGAAGGCGUGGGGAGCAAACAGGAUUAGAUACCCUAGUAGUC
rnacentral:rRNA from 1 species